GUCGUUAAUCUUGUCAAACGUCACUACUCUCUGGCAGGUUUGUGGUUCUAUCAGUAAGAAACAGAGACGUCUGGAACACACAGAUAGUUCGUCUUAAACAGAUAUGAACUCAGCUGUAACCCUGUGAGCGCCCUGCAUGAAGUCCCAGAGGGGGUUAUAAGGAAUAAAGUCAAGUACAGUCAGUUUACAUCCAGUAAACUCGUGUUAGACUUUAUGUUGUCUAAAAGCACAAACAGCUGCGUUGUUGUGUUUGCAUUCAAAGAGCGCGCUUACCGAGUACGAGGAGCAGGAGUGGCAGCAACAUCUUCAUCACCGGUUAAAGUCCUGAUAACAACAACACACAGCUGCUGCUGCACUAAAGCAAAUGACAGAAUUAAAUUUAGAGGAGAAACAACAUGGCUAGAUUGCUGUUUGCUGCUCUAUGGGAUUAAUAUUCUGCUGUCAUUUGAAACUUAAAUUUAGAAAUUAAACUUUAAGCUUUACAAAACUGACAGUAGGAUUUUAAGCUUUGUCAAAGCAUCUUUAUACAUUUACAUCGUUUUGCAUUUGAGGUUUCCUUCGUCACACCAGCAGCGAGGAUGUGCAGCUGUUUGACUCACUUGUUGUUACAGUCCUGGACCCGUGGCCCAGUGUUUAGAUUUUGUAUUAUUGUUUUUAGGCUGUUUUCUUCUAUUGUUCAAGGUUGCUAGUUUUUUGGUGUCUGUUUUGUAUUUCCGAGCCUGUGGAUUCCUUUGCUCCUUAUGUCACUCUGGUCCCUGUACUGUGUUAGUAUUUUCUCUGAGUUCAGUCUGUGGAUUUCCUGUUUUACUUUGAAGGUCUUGUCUCAUGUUAGUGUAUUCUGCUUUACUUCCUUGUCUUGUCUAGCCUAAUGACUUCCAGCUGUCUGUCCACCUGUUCCUGUACCUGCCAGUGUAUUUUAGUCCCUGUCAGUCAGUAUUUGUUGUCCUGUUGUUAGCAUCAUUUCUCCCUCCUGCUGUGUCUUUCCUGAUGUUUUCUUGUGUAUUUCGGUUCUAGCUCCAGUUUAGGUAUUCUGUUUGGUUUUCCUUGGUAAGCAAUAAAGCUGCUUUCAAGUUCAUGUUUUGCCUCAAUGAGUCCACCGUGUGGGUCCUCUUCUCCUGCCUGCACAGCACACACCAUGACACUUGUCAUUUUUCAAAGACACAACUUUGUUUCUUAGUUUUUUUU
ensembl:lncRNA